CUGCUGCCUUCCGUAGGAGUUUGGACCGUGUCUCAGUUCCAAUGUGGCCGAUCACCCUCUCAGGUCGGCUACUGAUCGUCGCCUUGGUAGGCCGUUACCCCACCAACUAACUAAUCAGACGCAGGCCCAUCCUUUGCCGAUAAAUAUUUGGCUGAAUCCCCAUGCGGACUCUCAGCUUCAUGAGGUUUUAAUCCCGGUUUCCCGAGGCUAUCCCUCUGCAAAGGGCAGGUUGCCUACGCGUUACUCACCCGUCCGCCGCUUU
rnacentral:rRNA from 1 species